CCCCCGGAGGACUAGUGGUUAGGCCACGGCGCUCUCACCGCUGCGGCCCGGGUUCGAUUCCCGGCCAGGGAA
rnacentral:tRNA from 1 species